CACGUAGGAGGCAAGCGUUAUCCGGAUUUACUGGGUGUAAAGGGCGUGUAGGUGGUUCUGUAAGUAGGGCGUGAAAGCUCCCGGCUCAACUGGGAGAGGCCGUUCUAAACUACAGAACUAGAGGAUGGUAGAGGGAGAUGGAAUUCCGCGUGUAGUGGUGAAAUGCGUAGAUAUCUGGAGGAACACCAGUGGCGAAAGCGGCCUCCUGGACCAUUCCUGACACUCAGACGCGAAAGCUAGGGUAGCAAACGGG
rnacentral:rRNA from 1 species